CUCGGAUUCGAUCAUGGCGCAGAGGGAGAAGAAGGUGGAGGAGCCGACGGAGCUGAGGGCGCCGGAGAUGACGCUCUGCGCCAACAGCUGCGGGUUCCCGGGCAACCCGGCGACCAACAACCUCUGCCAGAACUGCUUCUUGGCUGCCUCGGCGUCUUCUUCUUCUUCUUCCGCCGCUGCCUCGCCGUCGACGACGUCGUUGCCGGUGUUUCCGGUGGUGGAGAAGCCGAGGCAGGCCGUACAGUCGUCGGCGGCGGCGGCGGUGGCGCUGGUGGUUGAGCGGCCGACGGCGGGGCCGGUGGAGUCGUCGUCGAAGGCGUCGAG
rnacentral:lncRNA from 1 species